AGAGGAGACACGUGGCAGCUCGUUGUUAUCCACAGUCGGCGUAGUAAUGAUUUACCGCGCAUCGACCUCGCGCAUCGCGUGGCCUAGGAAGGGGUCGCCUCUACGCUAGCGGCUCCCGUGCGCGCGUGGUAGUAUGGGUCCGUUCGUUGUGUGGAGUACAUCGUACGACGAAGAGAGUACGGUUCAGUGUGUGAAUGUGUGCGCGCGCGCGCGUGUGUGUGUGUGUGUGACAAAGCGCGGUGGGGUGGAUGCUCCUGUUCAUUUAUCGAGGAGGGCCUGUCGUCAUUUAUCGAGAUUUACAGAUUGCUCGAGGCAAACGUGGCGAUCUACCCCCGGCGUCGAAGUUGGCUCGUCCACCCACCCAUCGAGGAGCCUCCUCUUCAAGAAUCUCCUCGAUGUCAGCACUCCAGGAAGGACUCCAGGCGGGAACAGACGGUCAAGCCGACGGUGGCGCUCCAUUCCAUCCGAUGAAAAUGAAAUCCAAGUGAAAAGAAAGUCUUGUGCAGGCGUGGCCGACGUUCCCAGGCCGGGACGUCGUCAAUAAUUUCGGGAAUCCCUGACUAGACGCGUCAGUUUGUCCAAGAGACUCCCCGAAUGACUAUGCGUCAGAUUCUAUAGUGCCAGAGGGUGUUUCUCCAGGCGAGCGGCAACAAAACGCUCACCCCACGGGAAAUAGUUGACACGAGGCGUCGCAGCCAUCGCGCGAGCAUUGUCGAAUAUUCCAGCAGACGGUAUCGAAUAGGGGGGGGUUCCCUUGCCGAGGCUCCCUCCCGCGCAAAACCCUCUACCGAAACCCGUGGCGAAUUAAUAAUCAACGUUCAAACGUUACCGACACGCGUCUCGGGGAUCACCCGUUCGAGCCCCAUCCGCGUCUUCGCGAAGCACGCCGCCUACUUCGACACGGGAAUUCCCCGCGAAGUAUUUAUUCAUCAGGCUCUGGUACGCCGAACAGCCGGGACAGGAAUUUCAUAAUGCUGGUGUCACACGCGCGUAUCGAUUGAAGGGCCACCCCGUCGACUCGUUCCAGGACUCGUCGGCCUGCGGCAAAAAUGUUGCAGCGAGGUGCGCCGACGGGAAAAGGAUGUCAAAGAAUGAUGAGAUUGAUAGGCAGGGAAUGGCGGGAAUCUCCGAGAGCGACGCUAGUGUUCACGCGCGCUACGACCACGUCGUUCCACCGGAUCGGCCUGGUGCACCAAGAUUCCCGACGCUGGUCCUAAAAUUCCGAAUGACCGUAACUAAGAAGAUAUGCGUUCGCCAUCCACUAGAUAGCAGCCUCAGCGGAAACCGCGAUGCACCGUUUAAAUUGGAGGACACGAGCGAGCACGCUGCUACAAUCUCUAAACCAUGAAACAUGACCAUAAAGGCGACCGCGCGCCGUUUAGCGACCAUUUGAAUAAAUAUACCGGGUACUAAUGUCUCAUCCGCGGAGUCAACGUCGUUCAGGCCGCUCUAACUAGCUGCGCGUAAAGGGAGUCGUACGGGCUGCGAGUCGAGGGAUAGGAUACGUUUCGAUCGCUCAGGAACGAUUGCAAUAACCCAUCCCGUCGUCGUGGCGACGCGCGUUUCGAUUUUAACCUUUGGACCGACGGUUUAACAAAGAAGCGAGCACCCAGCGAACGAACGAGCGUGUACGAGAGAACCGCUUUGGUUCACUCUUUCACCUACACGGGUUCGAUGCACUCGACAGCGCAAUUGCAACGACACGGUGUACACAUCGAUGCAGGUCGACAGUGGCGUAGGAAGGCUCGAUCCUUUCUUUUCUUUUUUUCUACGCGAAAUUAACGGAAUACCUAUAUAUCACUUCAGACGGGCGAACGAAAAAUGAUUGUUUACAUAUGCACGCAUCGUUGCGGAUAAAUUUCGUACGAUCGACAGCGUCAUAUUCGUUCGGAUUUCUUUCGAGUGGUUCGCGGUCUAUCGAUUCCUUUUCGCGGUGUUGUAUUCCUAUCUGGAGGAGAGCCGAGUUUUAUCUGAAUACUUUAAUUUACAAAGGUUAUCUCCCACGAACUUUGACUGUUUCUGGAGAACCGAACAAAAGACGAUAUAGAAGACGAUAUAGCCAGUCAGAUGCAACUAUACUUGUACAAAUUGUCACCAGCACAACUCAGCUAUAACUUGUUCUCGGUAUACACUUUUUUUCCAAGCUUCCAUUACACGUGAAAGUAUCCGCACAUUUUAAAUUAUAUUUUUAACUUUCAAACGCUAAUCUUUCUAUAAAGUAUUUCCAUGAGCGCAAUCUUAAUUUAACUUCCUUAUUCAUGUAUUCCAAAUAUAAAUUUCCAGCGACCUUUUUCCAUUUAAUUAUUCCGAUAUAAUCGCCGGUGGAGGUACGAUAAAAAAAAAAGAGAGAGAGAGAGAAAAAAAAGAAAGAAAUUGCACGCAAAGCAUUAACGCGCGCAGCCAGCGGAAUGAAAAUAUUAUUCGAUAGAAAACGAGGGAGGAACGAGGAACGGGGCACGCUGGUCGAAGGAGUCUCUUGAAGCAGCGUCGUUCGGCGAAGCACCUGGUUGAAAAACAGCGCGCAUUGAAUAAAAAGACAAUCGAUAUCGAUCAAUUCCAGCGGCCCGGUUCCGGGAGUUAUUCGAUUGAGGCAGGCACAGAGCGGCCGUGUCGCGUCGGUUCUCAGCUUUACCCAACCGAUAGGAUCGCUUUUGCCAUUAUAAUGUUUGACGCAUUGAACGACACUUCGCGGUUUCAAGCUCGCCAUCCCGCGGCCAAUUAUACGGAAACACGGUCCGGAGGUAAAAGUACGCGGCAAGUGGCGUGCUUGUCCUCUGUUCGCCAUCUCCUGGCAACGUUUCACGGGUGAGCGACGUCGACGCGUUUCUAUUCGCGGUUUUUCCAAACGGUACUCGGCUUCGCCUUUCCGGGAAAAUUAAUUCUACGUCUUCGAAAACAAUCGCAGGAUACCGCCGCCAACUUUUUCGACGAGGACAUCGUUAAUGAAAUUAUAGGUUUCUUAACGUGCUCCUUCUAUCGCGUAUUUAUAUUUGCGAAUUUCUACUUGGUAAAUUGUGUACACGAAUUUAUAUAAAUGAGUUUAUGAAAAUGUGUUCAUAUAAAUAAGUACGUAAAAAGGAGUAUACAUAAAUGUAUUCGUAAAAAUAGAAUUACAUAAAUGAGUUUAUAAAGGUAUGGUUACAUAAAUUAAUUCAUAAAAAUGAGUUUACAUAAGUGAGUUUAUAAAAAUGUAUUUAUAUAAAUAAGUACAUACAAAAGAAGUAUACAUAAAUGUGUUCAUGAAAAUAUAAUUACAUAAGUGAGUUUAUAAAAAUGUGUUCAUAUAAAUAAGUAGAUAAAAAGGAGUAUACAUAAAUGUAUUCAUAAAAAUAGAAUUACAUAAAUGAGUUUAUAAAAAUAUGUUUACAUAAAUUAAUUUAUAAAAAUGAGUUUACAUAAGUGAGUUUAUAAAAAUGUGUUUAUAUAAAUAAGUGUAUAAAAAAGAAGUAUACAUAAAUGUGUUUAUAAAAAUAAGUAUCUAAAAAAGAGUAUAUAUAAAUUAGUCUAUAAAAAUGAGUUUACAUAAAUGAGUUUAUAUAAACAGAGUACAAAUAAAAGAAUUCAUACAAAUGAGUUAACAUCGCUGGGUUUUUAUUUAUAAAUUAGUAUUUCUCGCUGAAGCUCGUUUGCACUAAUUGUUUAUACCCCGCAGAGGGGAAUGCGCGCACUAAACGAGCCAUCCCCGUCCGAAUAAGGAACAAAGAAAAUUACCUGACGAGGUACCAUUGCGGUAACAGGGCAGAACUUAACAACGAAGAAAAUUCUCCCUACGUUCUCCCUCGGUUAACGUUAUUAUCUAACCGCGUAUGAACGAGGCUUUAAAACUUCUUAUCGCUCGUUUUGUUUGGCGAACUCGCUCCUGGAGAAAAAAAAAGGAAUGGAAGUUACUUUCUUCUCUUGGCGGUUCGCUUUACACCCGUUACGGGGCCGCGCAAAACAACGCGAAGGAAACUGCUCAUAAACGCGACCCCUCGCGGUUAAGUACGUUUUUACGGAGCAGGUCACGCGGUCUCGCUGUGAUACGAAUACAGAGAAAUCGAUCGAGCUGAAUUAAUUAUUUGAGAAAUUUUGAUAUUCGAGCAACCAAUUCACCAUUGUCGAUAACAUUUAUAAACUCCACGAUAUUAAUUUAUUCUUCGUUCUUCAACAAUUAUCUCAUCGCGUUCACCUCCACGGCAAUUUGUCGAAGGCGAAACGAAUUACUUCGCACGAUCGCGCGAACUUCAAACGCUGUCUUCCCUCCUCUUCUUAUUUUUCUUUCGAUAUCUUCUUUUUUAUUCUCGAACACGUUGAAUAUUGUUUAAAAAAAAAAAAAAAGGAGGACCACAGUCAUCCAUCACGGUUCUCAUCAGCCGCUGUUAACUGAUCCACUUCAAAAGGUACACCAAUACAGAAGCCCGAUUGUGCAACUAUGUGCGCCGUUGAAGAGAAGCAAACGAGCGGUCAUGACAAGAUUGAUGUGCAUUUUCGGUGCACCGACGAAUAAUUGAUUUUCGAGUCGACCAGCAAUCUCGAUCAUCCUGCCAGUCGAGAUGGACGUGCCUCCCCGAUCUGCAUCGUAUAUUAUGACACGAAGGGGGGGAGGGAGGGAGGGAGGGAGGGAGGGAGGGAGGAGCGGUGCAGGGAAAAAAAGCGACUUCAUAUUCGCGCUGCAGUUUCCUCGUGUGCGAUUUUUUUACCGCGCUGCGAUUGAUUUUUGGAAUUUUUUCAUGGAUCGAUAAGACAAUGACUAUAAAUUGCCAUCUAGUGUGCUCCAUUUGUGAUUCGACUGAAUAAUAUUAGAUAACGGAACGCGUAACUACGCGAAAUGUUCGGCAGAAACGCGCGAGUUCGGGGAGGGUUUGACGCGCGUCAAAACAAAGCGGAAAAUACGGAUAUUGGACGAACGCGAUCUUCCGUUUCUCGUGAAACAUUAAAUGAGCCGGGAACCGUCAAUUUGGAGAGACCUCCCGUAAUUCGCCCCAUGAAAAUUCCUGGAAAGCGGGAGUUUCUCCCGUGGCAGCGGGCUGACGGGAACCGGGAAUAACCUGAUAAACCGAACUCGAUAUCCCACCGAUCCACGGUUCAAACGCGCGUUACGCCGGGAUAUCCGCGUUGCAUGCCGCGCGCCUCGCUCGCGUGGUCGCCAUUCAUAUUUAAAUUCAAUUUCGUCUAGACGCGCCGGCUCCGAAUAAAGGGCCAGCGAAGUGUCACUGGCCCCGGUGGUGGGGGGAUGGAGGAGAACUUUGACGAACGAAUAACGGUGCGCCAAAGAAUUUCCCCUUUAUGAAUUAAGCAACUCGACGACUUAUCCCCGAGAGCGAGGCAACCGCCUCCGCUUGCUGGAAACUCGUCGAAACGGACCACUGAAUAAUGUGCAUACCGUGUUGCAAAAUGAAGAGACCUGCGAGGGGGAUGCUUUCUUUCUUGGUUUCGAGAAGUCACACUUCGUACUAAAUCAUCAGGACUUUAAUAUGGUAUUAAUAAAAUUUUCAAAAACAAUGACAUUGUAUGUAUACAGCAUCAUGGAAAUUUUCCCUUUACUUCCCCUUCAUUUCCUCUUAGAUUUCCCAUUAACUUCCCCUCGUUUCCAGACACAUUUCCCUUCAAAUUUCCCUCAAUUUCCUGGUUCAUUUCCCUUUAAUUUCCCUUCAUUUUCUGGGAUAUGUUCCUUUAAUUUCCCUUCAUUUCCUAGCACAUUUCCCUUUGAUUUCCUUUCAUUUCCUUGCACAUUUCCCUUUAAUUUCCUUUCA